CUGGGGGGGUUGGGCGGCCGGGGUGCCUUUCUGCGUCGGGCCGGACUAGGGGGUGGGGGCUUCCCCCCGAUGGGGGUGUCACGGGGGCUGCCCCCCGGGGGGGCGGGGCGCCCCCCCUGUCCAGGGGGGGGGGGCGUACUCCCUGGCCGGGGUUUGGCUCCCCAGGGUAAGCCCUUUCCUCGGUGCGAGCGGCCAUCCGCGGCUGGCUUGAACGAAGACCUUACCCCCCGGGGUUGCCGGGGGGACCCGUCCCGGGGGCUGCCCGGCUGCAGUGAGCGUGCUGCCUGGCCCCGGCUGCCCUCCUUUCUCAUGGCCGGGGGAGCGCUUUGGGCGUGCCGAUGUGGGAUGCGCCGAACGCCCCUGGCCGGAUGCCCAAAAUGUGGGUUUAAUGUGAACCCGGGAAGGUAGUAUUCCUAUUUAAGCCCCAAUUUUGCACCUGUUGGUGGGAUGGGCUUCAAGCUAGACUAUUAGUGUCGUCAUCCCACUAAUGAAUUAACAUCCCUAUGUUACAAUUUCCGACUAUUCUGGCAAUCCUGUUCACUCAUCUUACUUGAUAUUUUGAACUUAAAACUAUUGACUAAGUUCAAAACUUAAUUAAAUAAUUUAAAAUUUCAAAUGGAAAAGUGGAAUUUGAAGUGUGAAUGGGAAUUAAAUGGGGGGCAUUUUCCUUUUUUAUUUAAUCCAAUUUGGAUUUGUUUUUUUUUUAACAUUUAUAUUAAUUGAAACUUUUAAAAUGUUUUAAUGUAAAUUGUACAAAAAUCAUUCAAUUUGCUUUUAACAAUUUUUAAAUGUUUGAAUGCUUUUUAAAUACAAUUUCCUUUUUGCACAUUUGUAAAUUUUUUGCAAAAUUUUUAAAUUGCGUAAAAUUAUAAAACUUUAAUUAAAUCAUUUAAUGAUUACUCGAAUGCCUAAAAAAUUUUGAAAAUUGUAAAACCCUGCAUCCUUAAACUUGCACAAAAUCAACUUCCAAAUUCUUGCUAGUUUUUUAAUUACAUUGACUACUUUUAACAACAAUUGAAAAACUUGACAAUGGAAAAUUUUGC
rnacentral:rRNA from 1 species